CCUACGGGAGGCUGCAGUGAGGAAUAUUGGUCAAUGGACGCAAGUCUGAACCAGCCAUGCCGCGUGCAGGAAGACGGCUCUAUGAGUUGUAAACUGCUUUUGUACGAGGGUAAAUCCCGAUACGUGUAUCGGGUUGAAAGUAUCGUACGAAUAAGGAUCGGCUAACUCCGUGCCAGCAGCCGCGGUAAUACGGAGGAUUCAAGCGUUAUCCGGAUUUAUUGGGUUUAAAGGGUGCGUAGGCGGUUCGAUAAGUUAGAGGUGAAAGCCCGGGGCUCAACUCCGGCACUGCCUCUGAUACUGUCGGGCUAGAGUGUAGUUGCGGUAGGCGGAAGGUAUGGUGUAGCGGUGAAAUGCAUAGAGAUCAUACAGAACACCGAUUGCGAAGGCAGCUUACCAAACUACGACUGACGUUGAGGCACGAAAGCGUGGGGAGCAAACAGGAUUAGAUACCCUUGUAGUC
rnacentral:rRNA from 1 species